UACGGGGGGGGCUAGCGUUGUUCGGAAUUACUGGGCGUAAAGCGCUCGUAGGCGGCUUUGUAAGUUAGAGGUGAAAGCCCGGGGCUCAACUCCGGAAUUGCCUUUAAGACUGCAUCGCUAGAAUUGUGGAGAGGUAAGUGGAAUUCCGAGUGUAGAGGUGAAAUUCGUAGAUAUUCGGAAGAACACCAGUGGCGAAGGCGACUUACUGGACACAUAUUGACGCUGAGGUGCGAAAGCGUGGGGAGCAAACAGG
rnacentral:rRNA from 1 species